UCUUCAAAUCUUCAAAUAAAUACAAUUUAAAUUCACGUCUUGCACAUUUCAAUGCACUUUGAAUGGAACAUAUACAUUCGCUUCAAACUAGAAUCAUGGUCUAAUAUCUUGUGAUGUCCAUUUCACAGGGCACUUACGUUCGAAUAGAACAAAUGUCUGAUGUAUAAGAUAAACAUCCAAAUGUGCAGAGCAGGGGGAGCGAGGACUGGAAUUUUCCGCAUUGCGUUGCAUCGCUCGGCGUAAACAUAAAACCAUGUCUGCAUUUGUGAUCGGAGAAACGACAAACAACAAGGGCUACUCUACACUGCUCAAAAUUCGCGUUUGAAUCGUCAGAGGCAAAUCCUUUAAAUAUGUAAACGUACUUACAGACUGUGAGUCAGAACAGCCCGCAUUGUAGUCUACUCUCUGUCAAUCCAGAAACAGUGCUCCAUAAAAUGCACUGCACACAUCUGUAUAUUUGGGUUGAACUGUUCUGGAACAGUGUUGUAAAUACAACUUAACCACUGAUUUCUAGUCGUGCUCUCUUUUGGAAGACCAAACAAAGUAGUUUCGCUUUCACAAGGAAACACACAGCAUUUCCACAACAUGGCAGCGGCGGCAACAGUGAGAAUAAAAGUUAUGCCUUUCUUUGCAUGAACAUUUGGGCAGUGUAAUGCAAAUCUUCCUACAUCAUGACGUAGACAUGUGGAGGCGUGUUAGGAUGAGCCGUUUUAGGUAGGCGUGGUUGUCUCUUAUCUUUUAUAAAGAAUCUCUUUGGGUUUGAGACUUUAGUCUUUGCAACUUUACGAAUCUUCUUUAUACAAAAAGAGCUUGUAACACUCCAAGGAAAACUUGAAAUUGCAUCAUAUGACCCCUUUAAGCUGUUGCAUCCACAUGGUGGAUGAUGUCCAGAUCGCAUUCAUACUUAUUGCGAUCAGUCUUUAGAGUACAUACUCUUUUAGUGCUUGUUAAGUAAGUACAGUACUUAAUGAAAUUAAGUAUCUACCCACUGAGCAUGCAGUUUCUAACACAGCCAUUGUCUCUAUUUUAACAUGAAAUACUGUUAUAAUUGAAAAGUAAUAUCAAAUUAUUGAAAAUGUUUUUAUUUUCCAUAGGAUUUUUUUAAAUUAUAAUUAUCACAUAAAUAUUAAUUAGUAUCAUGAAAAUAUCUCAAAAUGUAAAAGAAAAAAAUAUAUAUUAUUGAACAAAAAAUAUAUUGCAUUGAUUUUACUGAAAAAAAAAAAAAAAAGUUCCAGGUCUUCGGUCA
ensembl:lncRNA